ACCGUUUUGGCCGAAUUAUCCGAGGGACGAAAGGGUGGACAAGGCUGUCAGAAGCGCCGAACAACCUGGACCAGACUGGCAGACACAUGACGUCAGAGUAAUUGGAUCAUGCGAUAAUUACUUGGUGGAAAUAUGUCUUGAGACACAUCAGAUCUCCAGUCAGAAGAGGAGGCAAUUCCUAAAAAGAGGAAGCCAAUGCCGGUCCAUUUCUAUGGAGACUCGGAUGGAGACAGUGAAAAUGAAAAUUCCCCCCACAAAACAGGGGUCCAACCACUAGCGGGACAGUUGUCCCUCCAAUCAUUGCCUCCUCCUAACUAUUCCAUGUACUCCAUCACCAGCAGGACAGCGAACACGCCAGGGGGACACGCCCACCUGGCGAGGGGCGUGGUGUGGUUCAGACACCAUUGCCUGCUGUGCUGUUCCAGUUCAAAUCCUAGGCAUGCUGGAGACAAUUACAGAGGUGAGAGACCCGGUUCCGUUUCCGUGUACCACAAUGGAGGAAGUGGACCUUUUUGAGCAACGGCUCAAAGAUCCCGUCAACAUUCUAAUGAGUGAUGCCGUCAGAAAGAAUCAUGCCACACAUGCAUCCACUGAUGAACAGAUUCUAAAGCAUGCCAUUAGGUGGUUCAACCUGGCAGCAAACCGGGGUAGCUCCAGGAGGCGUGCUACUGUCGACAUCCCCCACACUGAACAGAAUUAAAAAUAUAUAUUUAUAUUUUUAUAUAUAAUAUAUAUUUAUAUAUAUACACACACACCAGUUCUCAGUUGGAAGUUCCACCAUUCACUUGAGGCCACUGCGACCUAUUCUCUGGGAGAAUUGUGGUAUUUGGGUUAGGUGGUCGGUAUUUAUGGUUGUAUUAGUUGUAGCUCUUGUGUUCUAAUGUGAGCUAUAGUUUUUACUCUAUAUGUAUGUGUGUAUAUAUUGUCUCGAACUAAUUAUAAAUAAAUAUGAUUCAUACAUGUACAAGAAAUAAUUUGAUGUCCUUUUAAUAAACUGUUUUUGAUAUUA